AUUGAACGCUGGCGGCAGGCUUAACACAUGCAAGUCGAGCGAGCGGCGGACGGGUGAGUAAAGUCUGGGAAACUGCCUGAUGGAGGUGGAUAACUACUGGAAACGGUAGCUAAUACCGCAUACCAUAAGAUGUGCCCAGAUGGGAUUAGCUCGUAUGUGGGGUAAUGGCUCACCUGGGAGACGAUCCCUAGCUGGUCUGAGAGGAUGACCGGCCACACUGGAACGGAGACACGGUCCAGACUCCUAAAGGAGGAAGCAGUGGGGAAUAUUGCGCAAGGCGCGCAAGCCUGAUACAGCAAUGCCGCGUGUGUGAAGAAGGCCUUCGGGUUGUAAAGCACUUUCAGCGAGGAGGCGUUACUCGCAGAAGAAGCACCGGCUAACUACGUGCCAGCAGCCGCGGUAAUUC
rnacentral:rRNA from 1 species